GGGGAGGGCGCCUGUUUGCACUUCCUCUCCGGGCCGAAGGACAGAAAGCUCCACGCAGCUAGCGCCUCGAUGAGGCUGUUUUUUAAUCUAGAAGGGCUCAGGUUCCUUACCUAGCAGCGGCACUCGCGCCCUUCCUCCCCUAGGGUCCCCACCCCCUCCGGGGACCGAGGCCUGGAAGCCGCUGAGCCCGCUGUGCCCUGGCGCGGGAGGAACCGCGAGGCAGCAGCGCCCCCUGCAGGUGCCAGGCGUCUCCGCAGCCUGGCGCUCCUAGACUCUUAAGGUGGAACCGCCUGAUUCUCCGUCACGCUCAUGGCUGCGAGUGGAGGACCUCUUCUGUGGAUGCCCCACUAUGGAUCGACAAGUCACGUUGAAAUUUCCCUGCAGUGUAAGAGGAUUGCCUAAAUCCCGCUUCAGGGCGGAAAGACCAGAAGGCGUUUCUGUAACUGGAAAGCAAAUCUUUACUUUUGUUUAUUAAACGUAAGCGACCGUGAGCAUAGGAUGAGAUCUCGGAAUCUUCUCACUCCCAGCAAACUCGUGGACAGGUGCACGGAUAGAGGACUGGACCACGCGUGCAGCCUGUGUAGGAUCCACGUCUUGUAUCUUCAGAGACCUCUGCUCGGAGUUAUCCUAUGUUUUAUUUACUUUUCUUCCCCCUUCCCUUUCUUGAGCCGACUGAUAAACAUGAGAACUCUUGCAAGUGUCCUCCAGGAGCACCAGCUUCUUGGAGGAAACCCCAUGAAAUGAGCAAGCAGGGUUCCGCGCGGUCUCAGUCUAGUCCUUCUCGGUCGGCACCUGGGAGCCUGGGGCUGCAGAAGGUCCCUGGACUCCGGCACACCCAUGACCCGGGAGCGGCGGAGGAGAGCCCGGACUGGAGCGCACAGGGCUGCUGGCUUAGAGUGUGCGGAUCAUCCACACCGUGGGAACUCCCCUCCCCCUGGGCACCGGGCCUGGGAUCCGCCCCGCGGGUGGGAGGCCGAUGGUCCCUGGGGUGGGUGUUGGCGCCGGAGAAACCUAGCACGCGCUAGGCAGCUGCGGGCAAAGCUCGCCUGGGCAGGUGCCUCCGGGUCAGACCCGCCCUGGGGGUUGCAAACCGCAAGCGAAAGUCGAGAAGGGCAGGAGCUUGCCCACUAAUCCGUUUUACACUGUGAAAACCGCAGGCCUGUCGCCUAAGAGGCCACUUUUUAAUUUGGAAGCACAUGGAGGGGGAGAAAAAACAAAUCAACAUGCGAGCACACUUCCUUUUCUUUUUUUCUUGCCGUGCCUCUCCUCCCCCCACUUUUCAACGAAAAAGCUGUCCUACUGGUAAAGAGUGGAAAUGAUCUGCACUUUGGAUUGCAGGGGAGACACGGGCACAUAGGGAGCCCGGCGAGUCACCGGAGGCCACGUGCUUCAGGCAAGCCCCAUCCAGUGUUCCCCCCCCCCCCUGCUGUGACUGGAGGGCAGUGUGCGACAUUUGGGUGUCAGCAUUCCUUGAGAGAGCGCCUGCUCGGUCGGUGGAUCUGCCGAAAGGGUAGGGGAUUGGGUUAGCAAACCAGAAGAAACACGCACACACUCACGAAUGCUCCUCAGUGCUUUCCAUGGGAGAACCCACUAAAGUCUCUAACAAAACUCAGUUUACUGUGUACGGACCUGAGGUGCUCAGGCUCCUGGAAGAACAGGCAGAGGAAGGAAGACAGUAGGACGGAUGGGGAAAGCCGAGGGUCAAGUGGGCAAGCUCAGGAUAGUGGAUCCCUUAUUCCCACGUUCCUCGUGUAAAGGUCCUGUUUAGGAACUCUCCCCCACCACCCAGAUAUGUGCUAGUGGUGAUAGAAAGGGAAGGCAGACAAACGAAAGCCUGGAGGAUGACCUUUAUUUAAUAAGUAAAACUCAGAUAAAUUACUCGGUGAAAUUGUGCUGGGGUGGGGGUGGGGGAAGAAGGAGUUCUUUGAAACCUAGAACACUUUAAAACUCCAAAAUUUUGGAGGGGCAGAAAGUCUUGUAAAACGUUUGUACAAUUGAGACGUACUGCUCAUUAAUUCAUUUUGAAAGCUGUUGUGGGGUUGAAUGAAGUCUUUCUCAGCCCCUGUGAGAAGCUCAACUAAUUUUGAUGCAAAGCAAAAUUGGGGUAGAAACUUCAUUAACAGAAAAUGUGUAUAGAACUUUAUAGUACUUGGGUCUAUUUCUAGGACAAGAGAUUUUUUUUUAAAAAAAAUUAAACGAGAUAACUUAUGCUUUUGUGACUCCGGCCAUGACUCCGUAUUUGCUUUCCCACGUGUGAGGGCGCACAGACCAGUACAUAAGCUUACCUGAUUUGUCUUCUAGACCUGUGUUUCGAUUUUCACUCAAGUUGGAGACCUACCUUCUUUCUGCCUGUAUGCACUUUAUUAAAGAUCGUCUGUUAACAAAUAAAAUGACCUUCUUUGCUCUGAA